CUCUCAUACGGGGGCUUUCGAAGCUUCAGGGGAGCCCGGCGCUUUGCAAACGCCUGAGCAUUUAUUUCUUACAAGGAAAAAAAAAAAAAAUCCCACACAGCCAAUCCCAGCGGUAGAGCGAGACGCACUGCACACGCAGUCCCGAUCUCCCAGGCUGCCCAAGCCGGAUCCGGAUCUCCGGGCCCGCCCCGAAUCCGUCCCCGGCUCUUGUAUUAGCGCCUCUGCACGGCCCUGAGCUCGGGUCGCUGGGUUACUGGAGAGGAAGGAACCCGGGGACCGAGCCCGUUUUGGUGUCUGGGCGUGUUUCCGCCUCAGUUCCUCGCCACCAAGCCCCAGAGAUCUUGAUCACCAAAUCAACCCCGACCACUGGGAAGAGGGGGCCUAAAGUCUGGGGCCCCAGCUCUGCCGUGGCCUUCUAGGCCGUCCCCAGACAGGAAGACGCGCGAGGAACAAAGGGGGACAGAGAGAGAGGCUUGUCUCUCGGCCCCGCGCGCAACCGUCCGUGGAGAAGAAGCAACCUCAGCCCAGCCGAGCCAACCUGGGCACGGGUGGAACUUCACAGCCCUGGAAGCGACUGGGCUCCCCGAAGGCUCUGAGCUCCGGAUUCCGGCUCCCCGCCUCCGACAGCGCCGGCGCUGCCACCGCAACAGCUUUCAGGACCUAAGGAGACGGCCCAGAGCCAUGGGAGCCGCAAGAGUCCUGGUUUUCAAACGUGCCAGGGGCGCCUGAGAUGCUUGGCCUCCACUGGGGAGACCCCCGCCUCGCCUUUAGGCUAUAUUUGUGAUUUACUUUCGUCUUUCAGAACCCAGAAAGAUAACCACGGAGGUACUAGGCACUGCCACAAAAUGCUUUCAUUAGCGCCCUCAUUUUACUCCUGGAGGUCUAAGCAAGACCCUAAUAAUUCGGCCCACGGAUCCCCAGCCCCAAACAGCUUCUGUGGCUGUGAGGAGCCUGGGCCCACUCUCUGGGUUCACCGAGAACCCUCCGACUUGGGGCCCGGUUGGCUAGAGGAAAGGGACUGGGUGGUGAAGAUUCUCCAAGCUGGAUACUCAAAGCAAAUCAAAUAGCAAACUAAUGACAGGAGAACCAUAUUUACACACAAGAAAAAUCGACUCUGGUUAUAAAAGUGUAUGGAAUUUGACCUCGCCUCGGAGAAACACUACACAAAAGCUAUCUUUAAUAGACGCCUGUCAUUUAAGAGCGGCAGGGACACUGCCCCUCACGCGCUCGAAAAAACAGAGCCAUAAUUGUAACUGCUGCUGCGGGUAGGAUUUAUUUCUCCAAUUGGCUAAAUGGCCUCCCCCCUUCCCCGAAGGUGAUAUCUGUAUUUUCAAAUUUCAGAGCUGUCGGCACGACGGGCAGAACCGACCCCAAUCUCGCCACAAAAAAUAAGAGGGGCUACACAGCGGGGAAAUAAAGUUGUUGUAAAUAAAAUUCAAGUCACCAUCUUCCCCCAGUCCUGUGCAACCUCGCCGGGCACGCGAUCGGCAGCUGACGGCCUCACAAUUGGUACAUCCUAAUGGAACUGCGAGGGAAAUGCAAUAAUUUUGCCAUAAUGGGCUGUAACCUCAAUUCGACCCCGGCCCUCGCAGCCCCGGGUCGGAAGCGGAGCGAUGCGCUCUGCCUCCAGCGGGUGGCGCUCGAGUCCGACUGAACGACGGCGGCGGGCGGCGGGCACGCGCCUGGGGCGCGCGCGCCACCCCUCUCGCCUCCACCCAACUCCCCCAUUAGUGCACGAGUUUACCUCUAGAGGUCAUCAGGCAGGAUUUACGACUGGACAACAAAAGCACGUGAUUCGAAGUCGUACCCCAUAUUUGGGUGCCUACGUAGGAGGGAACCAAGUACAUGUCCCAGUCAUUUCCAUAAUUCAUCAUAAAUUGUGCAAGGGUGCUAUAGACGCACAAACGACCGCGAGCCACAAAUCAAGCACACAUAUCAAAAAACAAAUGAGCUCUUAUUUUGUAAACUCAUUUUGCGGUCGCUAUCCAAAUGGCCCGGACUACCAGUUGCAUAAUUAUGGAGAUCAUAGUUCCGUGAGCGAGCAAUUCAGGGACUCGGCGAGCAUGCACUCCGGCAGGUACGGCUACGGCUACAAUGGCAUGGAUCUCAGCGUCGGCCGCUCGGGCUCCGGCCACUUUGGCUCCGGGGAGCGCGCCCGCAGCUACGCGGCCGGCGCCAGCGCGGCGCCCGCCGAGCCCAGGUACAGCCAGCCGGCCACGUCCACGCACUCGCCUCCGCCCGACCCGCUUCCCUGCUCCGCCGUGGCCCCUUCGCCCGGCAGCGAGAGCCACCACGGCGGGAAAAACUCCCUGGGCAACUCCAGCGGCGCCUCGGCCAACGCCGGCAGCACCCACAUCAGCAGCAGAGAGGGGGUUGGCACGGCGUCCGGAGCCGAGGAGGACGCCCCCGCCAGCAGCGAGCAGGCGAGCGCGCAGAGCGAGCCGAGCCCGGCGCCGCCCGCCCAACCCCAGAUCUACCCCUGGAUGCGCAAGCUGCACAUAAGUCAUGACAACAUAGGCGGCCCGGAAGGCAAAAGGGCCCGAACGGCCUACACGCGCUACCAGACCCUGGAGCUGGAGAAGGAGUUCCACUUCAACCGCUACCUGACCCGCCGAAGAAGGAUUGAAAUAGCACAUGCUCUUUGCCUCUCGGAGAGACAAAUUAAAAUCUGGUUCCAAAACCGGAGAAUGAAGUGGAAAAAAGAUAAUAAGCUGAAAAGCAUGAGCAUGGCGGCGGCGGGAGGGGCCUUCCGCCCCUGAGUAUUUGAGCGUUUAAAGUACUGAGCAGUAUUAGCGGAUCCCGCGUAGUGUCAGUACUAAGGCUACGUGUGCCGCCUGGUCAUUCAAAUUGUCAAUUUUAGGUCCAGAAGUGUCCAAACCACAAGUUCUCAAAACUCUCUGAAAAAUGGCUACCUCCGAGUUAAGUAACUCUGGGGUUGCCUCAGAAUUCCAAAGGGGAGAGCAGACUUUCCCUCGGCUCAAAGGAGCAGCGCCAGGAGCUAGCUUCGGAGGCAUCACGGUGCAAGGCGCCAGUGGCCGCGCCGCAUCCCCAGGCCUAACUUUAAUUGCUGCACCAGCGCGGAUGUUAAUGACUUCCGCUGCUCUCGCCGGCGUGCAAAAAGAUGAUUUUUGUGUGUGAGUGGGCCUGCAUGCGGAGACUGGGCAGGGUCGCCCCCAUCCCGGGACUGGCGGGCCGGGCUCUGCGGGGUCUGCGGAGCCCUGGGUGGGGGCUGGGAGCCCCGGGGGGCGCGGGCCGCGGGCGCCGAGGCCGCGCUGCGCCCGGGCGCGCUGGGGAGUUUGAAAGAAAGGCCCGAGCAGGGCCGAGGAGGACUCUGGCGGGAUUCCUUACGGGGCUGUGGCAAUACGUCUUCGCGGGCCGGGGUCAUUUGGCAGCAUUGAAUCGAGGCGACGGCCUUCGGGGCCGGGUCGCAGGCCGGCUCGGUAGAGCCCGAGGGUGGCAGGGGCCGGCGGGGCACACCUCCGGGCUGGGCCCCAGGGUUGCCAGGCCGAGGCCAGGCCGCGGGCACCCGCGGGACGCUGGGGACCGCAGGUCCCCACCUGGGGGGAGGGCUCAGCACCCCCUCCCCGCCCCCACCCGGGAUGAGGCCCUGAACCUUGUUUGCCUGCACGUUCUUUUUAUUUCGGGGAGAUUGUUCUCACCCGCCUGUGAGUCUGAAGCAAUAAACUUUAUGGCCGGAUUUAACUUUAGUCUUUGAAUCCCCAGUCUAAAUGAAAGGAGUUGCAGCGCUUUCUUUUCUUCCGCCUUGCCUUUCUUCCCCCUCUCUUCUUUCCUUUUCCUCUCCUCCUUUGCAGAAUUAAACCAUCCAGGCACAGGACCCUCAAAAGGCAACUUAGCCAUCUCCCUAGAUAACACGUAAGAUUAGAGAAAUUUAUUCCCCCUCAAUAUACAGGCAAAGUCUCUGUUGCAAACUGUGCCCUGAAGUUUGAGGGGAAAUCGAAGUGUCUUCAAUGCCCAACUUAAAAGCCCCCAGAGCCAUUAGGUUGUUUUUCCUCACACAUCAUAAAGGGUAGUUUAGGGGAGAAAUUGGUCGUUUGUCAGUAGGAGAUUUCCGCCUUUCUUUUGUUAGCUGCUCUUUCUGUUUGAUCCCAGGAAAUUUACAUAAUCUAUGAUUUCCAAAACAGUUCCCAAUAUUGCACCAAUGGGUGAGAUAAAUUUUUCCUGGGUACAGUUGCAGCUUGGUCUCAGCCACCCUUUCUGGCCCCAACCCCCUACAUUCUUCAGUGGCAAAGCCAUGACUGGGGACCCUGCGGCCUAUCCUGGGUCCUUUCCCUGAAUGGGUACCCACAAGGGAUUUAGCAGAUUUUCCCCAUCCUGGAUGAAGAACUAAGCCAACUCCCCCAAUCCAGAAGUGAAACAGAAAUUGGGAUCUUCUGUCUCCAAAUGCUUUUCUCCUUAGGGAAAUUUUCUGCAAGUGCUGACUGUAAAGUAAAGUCCUUCAAGUGGAAACAUUUAAUGUGUAAUUUGGAAUUUCCACAAAUUUCAUUGUGCAGAGGCCACUUUCACUCAACCUAAGUCCAACGGAUAUCCCCAAACUCAGAGGUCCAGAAAGCAAAACCUCAGAAGUUUUUUGAAAAAUUGAAACCCUCCCACAAGUCCCACUCCUCUUGAGUAGUGGGAAGGCGAAUCUCUGAAGUCCUUUCAUGUAACCUAUUAAAGUGAGCAUUGAUAGUUCAGCACUUAGGAAGCUGGGUCUGUAUCUUAGUCAGAACCAGAAUAUUAACUUUAUUUGGGUUCUCUUUUAUUAUGUGUUAGUGAGAAUUCUGGAGUCUUUGUUCUGCUACUCUGAGUUUCAGGUUCUUUAAUGGAAAACACUGGGUUAAGGGUUUUACUUUAGUUACUCAUUUGGUGAUCCUGCAUGAGUGAUUUCUUGGUGACUAAAAUUAGUGGCAGAAAAAAGAGGGAUAGGGCUCCUGACAGGUUCAUUUAGGUAACUUGCCUGGAGGAAGUGUCCAUACCACUUCCGUGAUCGCAUCCCACCCUGGGGUGUGGGAAUGGGCAGAAAGUCUCUGGACCAGUAUCACACAAUAUGGGGGAAUCUUUCCCAUGCAUUAAAAAAAUAUAUGGGCUAUAAAUAUUGUCAGCUUGCUUAUUUCUGUCUAUUGUAAUUAUCAUAAAACUUUAGAGUUUAAGAGCAGGCCAACGCACAUGGGGUUAAACGACUUUAAAAAAUACAGCAUCCAGGCAGACCUAUGUGAGCGGUAUUGGAGGAAUUUUUUUUCUUCCUAUUUUCAUAGGAAGCAUCAUAAAGAGGAUGACUGGUUAUCUGCUUGUUUUGUAGAUAAAGUUGUUUUUUUCUUGUGCAUUCUUUUGGGGUUGUUUUUGCAGAGGAACUUACCUAGGAAAAAAAAUCUCUGUCACCCUGAGGGCUUUAUGAAGACAUCUAGCCUCAGCCGAUGGCUGUAGAGUCUGUCUGUGAUCCUAGCCUUGUAAAAGGAGAAGGCAUCCGAAAUGUGCCGGGGCCCAUUUGUUUCUACAGGCUGAAGAGACAAUAUUUCCUGAACUAUAAAUAUAAUAGGAAGCUUCUGGUCACACUUACUUAGGGGUUUGUUAGGGUUUCCAUGGUCUAAUUUCACAACAUUAUGCCAAGAUUCCUUACCCCCACCACCACUCUUUCCCCUUGCUUCAUUGUUGGCAUUCUGAGAGAACAACACAGAAAUUUCUACUAGAAACGGAGUCAUGUUCAGUUGUUGAGAUGUGAAGAAUAUUAUAUCCAAACAAUUAAUGAGGGGAGAGCAAAUUACAUCCUGAAAGAUAGGCUGUUAAAGAGGAAAACAAUUCUUUUAGCUUAAAAGAUGCCCUUCAAAGCCUCUCUCCCAUCUUCACUCUGGAGUCUUGUCUGAGGUUUGCCCACCAUGGAGAGUGCAGAACGUUGUGGGCGCCAUCCCUUUGGCUUCUAAGGCAUGUCUUUCUAGACAAUGACAAAACUAUACACGGGGCUUCCAGACUGGGCUGAGGGGGUCUGCCUAGGCUCCCACCCACAUUGGAGAGGGGAGCCACAGUCCUAGCCAUUCUAAACCCCAGGACUAGAAGGUCUGCCUAGGUCUGUUUUAUUUGGUGUUUUUCCUGCAAAGAAAGCUGCCUUUCCCCCAUCAGUUCCCCUCCCCACAAACCGGUCUUUUCAAUAAUAAUAUUUGUUAUGAAGGUUAUUGGGUAAUUAUUGCGAUUUUGUGAAGCAGCCCUUGCUGGAGGUGAAGUCUGUCAUCGCCUAACAAAUGACGCCCGUGCAGUUCACUGCCGGGUUAAGUAAAUGCAGAGAAGAUAAAUCUGCACACCCUAGGAAUCGCCAGCAGAGCACGCUUUAGUACAAGUUCACAGUCAACUCUCCUGCCUGGGCCAGCUCUCCCAACAAUUAGGGCUGCGUCUUUAUUUUUAAAUAAAGGAAAAGUCUCCAGCUUC